ACGGGAGGCAGCAGUGGGGAAUAUUGCACAAUGGGGGAAACCCUGAUGCAGCGACGCCGCGUGAGUGAAGAAGUAUUUCGGUAUGUAAAGCUCUAUCAGCAGGGAAGAAAAUGACGGUACCUGACUAAGAAGCCCCGGCUAACUACGUGCCAGCAGCCGCGGUAAUACGUAGGGGGCAAGCGUUAUCCGGAUUUACUGGGUGUAAAGGGAGUGCAGACGGCUUUGCAAGUCUGAUGUGAAAGGCAGGGGCUCAACUCCUGGACUGCAUUGGAAACUGUAGGGCUAGAGUGUCGGAGAGGUAAGCGGAAUUCCUAGUGUAGCGGUGAAAUGCGUAGAUAUUAGGAGGAACACCAGUGGCGAAGGCGGCUUACUGGACGAUGACUGACGUUGAGGCUCGAAAGCGUGGGGAGCAAACAGGAUUAGAUACCCUGGUA
rnacentral:rRNA from 1 species